UGUAAAUCGUUGAAAGGAAGAGUAUCCUGAUUUGUCGCGUAAGAGAUGAAAUGCCCUGGCUGAAAGCAUUUCUCAAGAACGUACAGGAGAAAACCACCCUUGAGUGUUGGGCUGAAAUAAGUAAGCCUGGCCGUACCCCGCGUUAAGGGAUAUCGAGUGAAAGGUCAUGCUUGUGACCUUUUAAUUGGGUGGAACCACGGGAGUGAACUCUCGUCCCUUUU
rnacentral:ncRNA from 1 species